rnacentral:rRNA from 1 species
UUACUGAGUAAUUGCCCGGCAUUUUUUCCUGAAGAGGAAAGGUGGCGUGGUGUUACCCGACCUUUUGUCAUGAGCUGGCCGAAGCGGGGGAGCGAGUCUUCUUUUGGGAGACGGACUCUUGCGUGAACGGCGCGUACAUUUCGGCGGAAGAGGUGGUCUUUGAGCUGCCCGCCGCCGGUGGUAUUUUCCAACUCUUUUGUGAAUUGUGAAGUCUGAAGCAAAACAUGAAAACGAAAAGCAAAACUUUCAACAACGGAUCUCUUGGCUCUGGCAACGAUGAAGAACGCAGCGAAACGCGAAAGGUAAUGCGAAUUGCAGAAUCAGUGAGUCAUCGAAUCUUUGAACGCACAUUGCGCCUCUCGGUAUUCCGGGAGGCACGCCUGUUCGAGCGCCAUUACGAACCCCAAGCUUGGCUUGAUGUUGGGCGAUGUCUUUCUCUGUGGAGGGAGACACGCCUGGAACGCGUUGACGCCGCCGGCGGACCACGAGCGUAGCAGUGACGAAAGUCGAUCGCAUCGAUGGAAACCGACGGAGGGCAGUCUUGACGUUUGUCGUCUACGGACGACGGACACACACACACGAGUUUGGCCUCGGAUCAGGCGGGGAUACCCGCUGAACUUAAGCAUAUCAAUA